AGAUUGAACGCUAGCGGGAUGCUUUACACAUGCAAGUCGAACGGUAACAGGCCGCAAGGUGCUGACGAGUGGCGAACGGGUGAGUAAUGCAUCGGAACGUGCCCAGUCGUGGGGGAUAACGCAGCGAAAGCUGUGCUAAUACCGCAUACGAUCUAUGGAUGAAAGCGGGGGACCGAAAGGCCUCGCGCGAUUGGAGCGGCCGAUGUCAGAUUAGCUAGUUGGUGGGGUAAAGGCCCACCAAGGCGACGAUCUGUAGCUGGUCUGAGAGGACGACCAGCCACACUGGAACUGAGACACGGCCCAGACUCCUACGGGAGC
rnacentral:rRNA from 1 species